rnacentral:rRNA from 1 species
AGUGUAGCUGAAGGAGAAUUCAUCUUUUCUGCACAUUGUUGCUGGAGCAUCGGAUUGUGGAGUUGCAUUUUUAUGCAUCAAGAUCACCAUGUAUAGGGUAACCUGUAUUUGGCCUUGAGCUCUAUAAUCUAUGGUAUGUUCCAGGAUACUCUAAGCAGCAUUUGUGUGAGAAGUGCAUUUUCUCAACUUUCGUGCUCGAGCCUCGACCGAUGUGAAAGAGAUUUAGCAAAUCUCGUAUCCUAGUGAUCAUAGAAAGGUAUGCUAACACCAUAUCUGAUCUGUUAACAGUUAUCACAGCUAAUGGUUCACCUUGAGUGUCCAGAACUAGUCUAUGAGCUGUUACAGGUAACUAUGUAUAUCACAUGCACAUCGGAGAUGAAUCUCUGCGUAUGCAGGGUCAGUACAAUGCCUAUUAGGGUGCCAGUGAAUUCAAAUCGUAUCUCGGCAAUUGGAUCAUGUUUGUGUACCCGGUACUCAAACUGUUCAUGGUUAUAUGAUUUUUUGGUGAUUCAUUGGAUGCACAUCUUAAUGGGUUAGAAGAAUGUACUAUACUGUGAUUCGGAGGCAAGUAGAUCGGUACUCUAUCCGACCCGUCUUGAAACACGGACCAAGGAGUCUAACAUAUAUGCAAGCCGAACAGUCUUGAAUAGGCUUGGAAGGCGUAUUGAAAGAGAUUGGUAUGAUGUGAUUAUCAUUUUCUUGAACUAUUAAUUGUUGUUCAAGUUGAUUCACCGCAAUACCAGCCCGUGGUAUAUCCUCUUUACCGAGAUUUCCGCGGAGCUAUAGUAUACAUGUUAGUACCCGAAAGAUGGUGAACUAUGCCCGGGCAAGAUGAAGCCAGAGGAAACUCUGGUGGAGGUCUGUAGCGAUUCUGACGUGCAAAUCGAUCGUCAGAUCCGGGUAUAGGGGCGAAAGACUAAUCGAAC